CCUACGGGGAGGCAGCAGUGGGGAAUAUUGGGCAAUGGGCGCAAGCCUGACCCAGCAACGCCGCGUGAAGGAAGAAGGCUUUCGGGUUGUAAACUUCUUUUCUCAGGGACGAAGCAAGUGACGGUACCUGAGGAAUAAGCCACGGCUAACUACGUGCCAGCAGCCGCGGUAAUACGUAGGUGGCAAGCGUUAACCGGAUUUACUGGGUGUAAAGGGCGUGUAGGCGGGACUGAAAGUCAGAUGUGAAAACCACGGGCUCAACCUGUGGCCUGCAUUUGAAACUGUAGUUCUUGAGUACUGGAGAGGCAGAUAGAAUUCCUAGUGUAGCGGUGAAAUGCGUAGAGAUUAGGAGGAACACCAGUGGCGAAGGCGGUCUGCUGGACAGCAACUGACGCUGAGGCGCGAAAGCGUGGGGAGCAAACAGGAUUAGAUACCCUUGUAGUC
rnacentral:rRNA from 1 species